GUGCUCCCUUCAGCAGCACAUAUACUAAAACUGGAACGAUACAGAGAGGAUUAGCACAACCCCUGAGUAAGGAUGACAUGCAAAUUUGUGAAGCAUUCCAUAUUUUU
ensembl:snRNA U6 U6 spliceosomal RNA